GACGAACGCUGGCGGCGUGCUUAACACAUGCAAGUCGAACGGAAAGGCCCUGCUUUUGUGGGGUGCUCGAGUGGCGAACGGGUGAGUAACACGUGAGUAACCUGCCCUUGACUUUGUGAUAACUUCAGGAAACUGGGGCUAAUAUCGGAUAGGAGCUCCUGCUGCAUGGUAGGGGUUGGAAAGUUUCGGCGGUUGGGGAUGGACUCGCGGCUUAUCAGCUUGUUGGUGGGGUAGUGGCGUACCAAGGCUUCGACGGGUAGCCGGCCUGAGAGCGUGACCGGCCACAUUGGGACUGCGGUACGGCCCAGACUCCUAUGGGAGGCAGCAGUGGGGAAUAUUGCACAAUGGGCGGAAGCCUGAUGCAGCAACGCCGCGUGCGGGAUGACGGCCUUCGGGUUGUAAACCGCUUUCGAAUGUGACGAAGCGUGAGUGACGGUAAUGGGUAAAGAAGCACCGGCUAACUACGUG
rnacentral:rRNA from 1 species